GGAAAGGCGUCCUAUGGCCGGCUAGGCUGCCGCCCCCUUGGAUGCUGUGGUUGUAAGGUGGGUGACCGACCGACAUCACUUGGGGUCUGUGUGCCUUACGAACCCGCUUUCACAGCGCUUCUAGCUGGCCCCUGAGCACCGCGGGCCUCCGCCUCCCGGAAGCCCUCCGGGUCCCCCCGCCCCGGCGCGCCCCCCGCUCCGCCGGCUCCGGGGCGCCUAGGGCGCUGCUCCCGCCCCCCACGCGGGUAUCGCCGGUGUCGGGGCGCCCAGGAGGAAGUCCUCCGGCGCCUCGAGUCCCGGCGGAGCCCGCACGGGAGCCGUGGCGGCCGCGAGACGCCUGGGGCCUCCGGGAGGUGGGAGAGUCCAGGGACUACGGCAGCCCCGAGCUUGGGGCACACCCACGGACAGGCCCGGAGGCUGGUCCCCGCGGCUCUUACUGUUUCACGUUGUCCCCCAGCGCCUCGCUCAAGUUCUUCUUGGCUGCCUCCAGCUCGCUCACAAAGGUCGCCAUUGCAGCGCGCGUCUUUCAGCCCGACCGUAGACCGUGCGGCCCACGGCCACCAGCAACCGAAAGAUCAACGCGGCGGAAGGCCUGCGCGCCGGACGCUGGAGGCUCGACUCGACUCGACUUCACUCGGAUCGGCUCGGAUCGGCUCGGAUCGGCUCGGCGGCCCCGCCCCCAGCCGCUCGGGAGACGUUGCGUGGGUUUGGUUCUCGGCCCCGCCCGUCUCGCAGUCGGGAAAGCACACAGCCAAACUCCGUUUUCCAACUCCCGCCUCUUGGGUCACGUGACCCGCUUCCCCUAGUGGGCGCGAGUCCAACCUACGCCCGCCUGCCCGCGGCGGCCCCCGGGGCGCGAACUUGACCGCCCCCCCCCCGGGCCCGCCAGGCCCCUCCCUGACUGCAGGUCAGCUCUUCCCAGAAGGAAGAGCUCAGGUCCCCGAGUGCAUGCAAUAUCUAACUUAUCCUCUUGUCCUCAUUUUUUUGCCAAGUGCUCACCACCUAUUGUGACAUUUAGUUGGUCGAUCUCGUUUUCUGCCUCCUGCAACUAAAACGAGAGCUCCCUAAAGGCAGGAUUUGUGUUACUCAAGUUCUGAACAUUCACUAUUGACUGAUCAAAUAAAAAUAAUUCCCAAGCAGGACUACCAAAGCUCCUAGGGGAGGUAACAGGAGGAGUCUCAGCGACUAAUUAGCCUGACCCACAGAGGAAAAGACGCAAAGAACCCCGUUUCAAGUCAAGGUCAAGUGGAAGGACCCACAAGCUAGCUUGUCCUCUGACCUCCCUAUGCACGCUCAGAUUCCAAAUUCACACUCGAAUAUGCACAUAUAUACUACCCUAGGAAGCCAUAGCGGUGUUCAGCUUAAAACUUUUUAAAGCCUACUUUUAAAGUCUCUCUCUCUCUCUCUCUCUCUCUCUCUCUCUCUCUCUCUCUCUCUCUCUCGUUUUGAGGCAGAGUGGCCUUUUAACUUACCGAGAUCCAAAUGCCUCUGCCUCCCAAGUACUGGGACUAAAGGCAUGGGUCACCAUGCCCAGCUUGUUUGUUCUUGAAAUAGGGUCUCUCUUUGUAGCCCUGGCUAUCCGACACCAGGCUAUUAUUUUGCCUUAAUGUUCAUACUUUUAAUGACAGCAUAAUUUUUUAAAGAUUUUAUUUUUAGGUAGAUGUCGUUGUGAGUGAGUUUACAGGUGGUUGUGAGCAGGGGCCCUGUUAAAUACUGCACAGAUAAGAUGCAUACAAUGACUUCUUUCCUGACUAUUAAACUGGGUUUUUCUCCGGUAUUAAAAGAAAUAUUUUAACAAGCA
rnacentral:lncRNA from 1 species